rnacentral:misc_RNA from 1 species
UUGAAGAGAAUUAGUUGAUCUCAAUAAUUUUACUCCUCUCUCAAAGCAUUAUGAAUAUUCAUAGUCAUAGAUAUUUGGAGUUGUGGGAAAAAAUGUUAUAGGUUAUGACUUGCACUAAUUAUGAAAUGGCUUUCUUUCCAACAAAUUUCAUGCUACAAACUCCUCAUAAUGAAGAUGAACAUCAACCUUCAACUUCUCUCAAUCCCAUUCUUCCCUCAUGCUCACCUCAAGACUUCCAUGGUAUUGCUUCAUUUUUGGGAAAAAGAUCUAUGUCAUUUUCUGGGAUGGAUGGAAAUAAUGGUUGUGAGGAAAAUCAUGGAGAAGAUGAUUUGUCUGAUGAUGGAUCACAAGCUGGGGAGAAGAAAAGAAGACUGAAUAUGGAACAAGUAAAAACUCUUGAGAAAAAUUUUGAGUUAGGUAACAAACUUGAACCUGAAAGGAAAAUGCAAUUAGCAAGAGCUUUAGGGUUACAACCAAGACAAAUUGCAAUUUGGUUUCAAAAUAGAAGAGCAAGAUGGAAGACUAAGCAAUUGGAG